GGCCCCCCCAAGCCUCCAGUGCUUGUUGAGGUUUCAGUCUGCAGUCUGCUGAUCCGAAAGAAAGAAGGCGGCUUUUGGAGGACUUAAUCAUUGCGAGUCGAGCUGCUGCUGAACCUCCCCUUCCAACAUCCAGCAGGUUUGUUCUGCAGGCCCCAAUGAUGGCACAGGCAUGAAAGAGCCCAGAGCUCGUCGCUGGGGAGAGGCUGCGUAUGGCGUUGUGAAGGGAGAGAUGGAGGAGGGGUUUGAGCAGCGCUGUGCAGGAAUGAACGGCUGGUAAGAGAAGAGGACCCCCAUCACCAUCCCAGGACCCCCAUAGCCCACCUUUGGCCUCUCCUCCCCCCGACCUGCCUCCAGAUCCCGUACAACCUCACAGUGCUGUGGCAGGGCUGGCUUCUGCAGGUGAGGAAUGAGGAGCUGGAGAAGGUGUAGGGCACAGAUGUGGGUCUCAGAAAGUGAAGUGGGUGGUACUGGGGAUACUGGGGAACACGGAUCAGAACAUGGGAGGAUUUGGGGAGGAUAAGGGGAUGUGGACCACAGCCUACAGGAGCAGAGUGCUUCACAGGAGA